CUCGUGGUCUACUGCCAUUUCCUGGUAAUACAGUACACGUUAUUUACAGUAUAGUCCAGUAUUGUGAGGUAUUGCCUUCUCCACACAGUUGUGUGCGUUUUCUGCAACAUGUCGUGAGAGAAAUGAAAAAGAAGUGAUCCGCCAACCGCGAACUUUACUUUCUAAGCCGCGCUCCUUUACGCACUUUGCGUUGUGACGCACGUUUGACCAACAGUGUCUCCAGUUCGGCGUUGGUGCAGCUGGAGGUGGUGCUUCACAGGCGAGGUAAAACAAGGAUGGAGCGCGUCCUGAUACUUGUGGUGAUGUUAGCGGGAGGAAUUCAUGCUCUUUUUCCAGUGUUGGACACUAACUGCGAUGCUACCCGGGGCACCACCUCGUGCAAUGCUACGUCUGGAGGGUCUGUGUACAUCCAGGUGAUGUCCAACGUUAGUGGCCACAUGGUGCACUGUAAGAUGAACAUGGGGUCCACCAAGGUUUUCACCAUGAAAAAGGAAGCGGUGAAGAUGCACAGGGACAAUGCCGAGUUUUUCAUCAGCAACGGGACGCUGAAGCUCACAAACCUGACCAAGAACGACACGGGCCAAUACAGAUUUGAUAUCUACGAUCACAAUGGGGUCCUCCAGCGAAACACCACGGUUCAUCUGCACGUUCAAGGCAAGUACGAGUUACACCACGUGAGCGUAAAUCAAACAUUACUCCACCACGAGGAGCUGGAAGGUGUGGUCGACAGGAACUUGUGGUUUAACAGACAGUUUCUCUCCUUUUUAUCCUGUUUUUCUCUUUACAUUGUGAGGUUUGCACGUUUUUGUUUUGUGACACUUGUAGCGUAGUGAGCUGCUGGUAGCAAACACAUGCUCCAGCUGAUCCUCUUCUAAUUAUUCUCAUAUCACUGUCAGUGUUCUUUAAGUUUUUAUUUCCUUCUUUCACCUGAAUCCUCACUGCUGCUUCAAUUAAAGCAAGUGUUAUAACAGUUAUUAAUUUUUCAAAAUUUUAUAAUAUUUCAUAAUUAUACAGCCUACUGUAUGGUUACUGUUGUGGUCUUUUGUCUUUAGACUCACAGUUCAUGCUGAUCCUCAUACUGGUCAUUGCUUGUGCAACGUUUCUACUGCUGGUGAUUCUGCUAAUUAUCUGCAUUUGUUGUAAGAUGUCAGGUAAGACAUGCAUUCCUGAGAACCCUAAUAUUAAUGACAGCGUAUUUGGUCUAAAGGUCUUUCGCUUUCUAUUUUAAGAGCAAAACUUUCUUUUCUUUUUUGCAGCAGCGAGAAAGCAAAAACGCACAACUGUAUACUCUUAUUGAGUUCAAACAUCUACCAUGAGGCUGGUGGUUAAUGAAAGUCUCCAGGAACCAGCAGCAACAGGUGCUCAGGUCAAAGGUCAAAGAGAGAUAAAUAGUCAAGUCAUUGUAAACGAAACAUGUCGUCUAAUGCAUUGAGCUGUAUCACUGUGUAUCUGUAUUAACAUUAAUGAGCUUCUGAUACGAACACACUCCGUGUGUUUAAAACUAAAUAUGAAUUAUUGUUCUAUCACCUAAAUAUGUGUGAUAAAGUAAUUGCAUUUUAACUUUUAAUGUAAAUAAAAUGUACAUACUGUAUAAUUUUAUAUGAGGA
ensembl:lncRNA